UGAGAAAAUAUAUAUUUCUUUUCCCCCCCCAUAAAAAACCGAGGGGGGGGGAAUAAAACCCCGGUGGGAAAGAAAACGGGGGGGUAUAAAUUCCCCCAAAUGUUUUUUUUUAUUUUUUCCCCGGGGAGGAAUAAAAUCCAAAGGGGGGGUUUUGGGUAUUCCCUUAAAGGGAUGAAUUUUGCGUUUGGUUUAGGCUUGUUGGGGGGGGUAAAGCCCCCCCCAAGGCUUCCGAUCAGUAGCUGUUCUGAGAGGAUGAUCAGCCACACGGGGACUGAGAUACGGCCCAGAACUCCUACGGGAGGCAGCAGUGGGAAUUUUGCGCAAUGGGCGAAAAGCCUGACGCAGCAACGCGNCGUGAUCGAAGAAGCUCUGCGGAGUGUAAAGAUCUGUCAUAAGGAAGAAUAGCGAGUAUUCUACAAAAUAUUCGUCUGACGGUACCUAUAAAGAAAGCCCGGGCUAACUUCGUGCCAGCAGCCGCGGUAAUACGAGGGGGGCAAGCGUUAUCCGGAAUCAUUGGGCGUAAAGGGUUCGUAGGCGGACUGAUUAGUUGGAAUUGAAAGACCACGGCUUAACCGGGGGAACGAUUUCAAUACUGUCAGUCUUGAGUGAGGUAGAGGUAAGCGGAAUUCCUGGUGUAGCGGUGAAAUGCGUAGAUAUCAGGAGGAACAUCAAAGGCGAAGGCAGCUUACUGGGCCUAUACUGACGCUGAGGAACGAAAGCGUGGGGAGCAAACAGGAUUAGAGACCCUGGUAGUCCACGCCGUAAACGAUGAGUACUUGGUGAUGGGGGAUUCGACCCCUUCAUUGCCGGAGCUAACGCAUUAAGUACUCCGCCUGGGAACUACGACCGCAAGGUUGAAACUCAAAGGAAUUGACGGGGACCCGCACAAGCGGUGGAUCAUGUGGUUUAAUUCGAUGCAACGCGAAGAACCUUACCUAGGCUUGACAUGUUAGUGAAAACUCUGUGAAAGCAGAGCCUUCUGCGAGCUUGCUCAAGGACACUAUCACAGGUGAUGCAUGGCUGUCGUCAGCUCGUGUCGUGAGAUGUUCGGUUAAGUCCGAUAACGAGCGCAACCCCUAUUCUUAGUUGCCAGCACGUAAUGGUGGGGACUCUAAGAAAACUGCCCGGGAUAACCGGAAGGAAGGUGGGGUCGACGUCAAGUCAGUAUGUCCCUUACGCCUAGGGCUACACACGUGAUACAAUGGGAAGUACAAAGGGUCGCAAUACCGCGAGGUGGAGCCAAUCCCAAAAAACUUCCCCAAGUUCAGAUUGCAGUCUGCAACUCGACUGCAUGAAGCAGGAAUCGCUAGUAACCGGGAUCAGAACGCCAUCUGUAUUCGCGCC
rnacentral:rRNA from 1 species